AAUCAGUAGAUUUUCAUAUAGAAUCUGUUCGCCUUGCAUCUUCUUUACCCCUGUUACCCCGUACCCCAAAGGGGUAAAGGGGUACGGGGUGAUCGCCUGUGCAUCUUCGAUGCAAAGGAUUGCCUUUGGCAAAAGAAAGGGGUGAAUUAAUAUAUUUGCUACGCUGUGAAUCUUUGAUUCAUACAUCCGACGGUAAUCCGAUGAUUGCCUUUGGCAAAAGUACCCGAAGGGGUACGCAAGGCGAUGGGGUAAAGGCACAGGAUUACCUGAACGAAGUGAGGGUAACUGAGCUAAGAACAGAAAAUUUCUAUUAACGAUUUAAAGAUUCAUGGAAGGGCUAGGCGAAACAGUUUGAUACUGUACCAAAGAUGGUAAAUGUGAGUCCGGUAGCCGAAAGCUUUAAUUAAAAUAAUAUUACCCCAAGUAGCAUGGAACACGUUAUUCCGUGUGAAUCUGCGAGGACCACCUCGUAAGGCUAAAUACUCCUAGGUGACCGAUAGUGAACAACAGUACCGCGAGGGAAAGACAUAUUACCCUGAAAAGGGGGAUUUCAUGAAAGACUAAGCUUACAAACUGUGGGAGGAGCAUAUAGCUUUGACCUCGUGCUUGUUGAAGAAUGAGCCGGCGACUUAAGGUAUGUGGCAAGGUUAAAAAAAUAAUUUGGAGCCAUAGCGAAAGUGACUUUAUAAGGUCAUAUAUCUUAGACCCGAACCCGGGUGAUCUAUUCUUGGCCAGGAUGAAGCUUGGGCAAAACCAAGUGGAGGUCCGAACUCGUCGAUGUUGAAAAAUCGUGAGAUGAGCUGAGAAUAGCGGUGAAAUGCCAAACGAACUCGGAGCUAGCUGGUUCUCCCCGAAAUGCGUUGAGGCGCAGCGGUUACUGAGAGCUAUUGACGGGUAAAGCACUGUUUUGGUGCGGGCUGCGCAAGCGGUACCAAAUCAUGGCAAACUGAGAAUAGUUGAUAGUAUUCCAGCAACCAGUGGGACUAUGGGGGAUAAGCUCCAUUGUCAAAAGGGAAAGAGCCCAGAUCACCAGUUAAGGCCCCAAAAUAAUAUCUUAGUGUUAAAGGAUGUGAGACUGCAGAAACAGCCAGGAGGUUUGCUUAGAGGCAGCUAUCCUUUAAAGAGUGCGUAAUAGCUCACUGGUAAAGCGGUUUUGCGCCUACAAUGUAUCGGGGCUAAGUUAUUUGCCGAAGCUGUGGGUGUUGUAUUUUAUUUAUACUUUACAACGCGGUAGGGGAGCGUUGCAUUUUAUGCAAGUGAGAAUGUUGGCUUGAGUAACGAAAACAUAGGUGAGAAUCCUAUGCCCUGAAAACCUAAGGUUUCCGACGCCAGGUUCGUCCACGUCGGGUUAGUCAGGACCUAAGACUAGGCCGUUAGGCGUCGUCGAUGGAAAGCAGUUUAAUAUUCCUGCACUCUUUAUGUUUGUUAAGGUACCGAGGGACGGAUCUUUUCACUGUAAAUAUUUGGUACUUAUCAGUGAAUCCUUAAGGAGUCUCUAACAAAAAAUUGAUUCUAGGGUUGAUUCCAAGAAAAGCUCGAACUACUAUAAAACAUAAGACCUGUACCUAAAACCGACACAGGUAGGUUGGUAGAGUAUACUAAGGGGCGCGAGAUAACUCUCUCUAAGGAACUCGGCAAAUUGGCUCUGAAACUUCGGGAUAAGGAGUACUGUGCAUUAAAAAUGCAUAGUCGCAGUGACCAGACCCAGCCGACUGUUUAAUAAAAACACAGGUCUCCGCUAAGUCGCAAGACGAUCCAUGGGGGCUGACGCCUGCCCGGUGCUGGAAGGUUAAGGAUGUUGGUUAUUCGCCCUUGAGGUGGAGAAGCUGACUACCGAAGCCCCAGUGAACGGCGGCCAUAACAAUGAUGGUCCUAUGGUAGCGAAAUUCCUUGCCGGGUAAAUUCCGGCCCGCACGAAUGGUGUAACGAUCUGGGUGCUGUCUCGGAGAGAGACUCGGUGAAAUAGAAAUGUCUGUGAAGAUGCGGACUAUUUACAUCUGGACAGAAAGACCCUAUGAAGCUUUACUCUAACUUGGGAUUGAGUCUGGGCUCUUGGUGCGCAGCCUAGGUGGGAGGCGAAGAAGGCUUCCUUUCGGGGAAGUUGGAGCCAACAGUGAGAGACCACUCUCCAAGAGCUAAGGCCCUAAAGCUGUUCCUUGAAUCAGGACGGCUAACAGUUCCAGGCGGGGAGUUUGUCUGGGGCGGACGCCUCCUAAAGGGUAACGGAGGCGCGCAAAGGUUCCCUCAUACUGGACGGAAAUCAGUUGUAGAGUGUAAAGGCAAAAGGGAGCUUGACUGGAAGACCUACAAGUCGAUCAGAGGCGAAAGCCGGCCUUAGUGAUCCGACGAUUCCGUGUGGAAGGGUCGUCGCUCAACGGAUAAAAGUUACUCUAGGGAUAACAGGCUAAUUUUCCCCAAGAGUUCACAUCGACGGGAAAGUUUGGCACCUCGAUGUCGGCUCGUCGCAACCUGGUGCGGUAGUACGUGCCAAGGGUUGGGCUGUUCGCCCAUGAAAGCGGUACGUGAGCUGGGUUAAGAACGUCGUGAGACAGUUUGGUCCAUAUCCGGUGUAAACGUUGGAGCAUUGAGGGAAGCCUUUCAUAGUACGAGAGGACCUGAAAGGAUGUACCGCUGGUCUACCAGUUCUCCCUACCAGGGGGAUACGCUGGGUAGCUAUGUACAGAGGAGAGAACUGCUGAAAGCAUCUAAGUAGGAAACCCAUCCCAAGAUGAGUGCUCCCAAAGAGGUCACGGCUAGAGAAGCCGUUUGAUAGAUAGCAAGUGGAAGAUUAGUGAUAAUUGCAGCUGAGCUACACUAACAGACCCUAUGA
rnacentral:rRNA from 1 species